ACUCAAAUGAAUAGACGGGGAGGCGCACAACCGGUGGAGCGUGUGGUUCAAUUCGAGACAAAGCGAAAAACCUCACCAGGGCUUGACAUGUAGUCGUACAUUUUCCCGGAAACGGGAAGAAAUCCGCAAGGAUGAUUAUGCAGGUGUUGCAUGGCCGUCGUCAGCUCUAGGCGUGAGCUGUAGGCUUAAGUGCCACAUAGAGCGCAACUCUUGUCUAAUGUUACAUUAUUCAUUAGAGACAGCCCCGCCUAUGGCGGGGAGGAAGGAAAGCAUGACGUCAGGUCAGCACGACCCUUAUGCCCUGGGCUACACACACCCUACAAUGGCGAAGAACAAUGAGUUGCAAGUUCGUAAGGACAAGCUAAUCUCUGAAAUUUCGCCCCAGUUCAGAUUGAGGUCUGCAAUUCGACCUCAUGAAGUCGGAAUCGGUAGUAAUCGCGGAUCAGAAGGCCGCGGUGAAUACGUUCUCGCCUCUUGUACACACCGCCCGU
rnacentral:rRNA from 1 species